ACCAUCGAGGACCUGCGGGACAAGAUUUGUGGUGCCACCAUUGAGAGUUCCAAGAUUGUCCCGCAGAUCAACAAU
rfam:Otolemur garnettii contig050168, whole genome shotgun sequence.